GGGAGAUGGUGUUUAUUGAGGCCUUAAAGAUGAUCGAGAUGAAGGAGAAAGUGAAUGGAGGAUGAAGGAGAACGGUGAGAACGAAAAAUGGAGGCACUAGGGUUUGCAAGGAUGAAGGAGAACGGUGAGAACGAGAAAUGGAGGCACUAGGGUUUGCGAGGAUGAAGGAGAAAGUUUGAACGAAAAACGAAAAAUGGAGGCACUAGGGUUUGGGAAAAAUGGAGGCACAAGGGUUUGCGAGGAUGAAGGAGAACGGUAGUAUCCUUUGAGUUGUUUAUGGUAGUGCGAAAUAU
rnacentral:lncRNA from 1 species